GUACGGGAGGCAGCAGUGGGGAAUUGUUCACAAUGGGCGCAAGCCUGAUGACGCAACGCCGCGUGGAGGAUGAAGGUCUUCGGAUUGUAAACUCCUGUUGCCCGGGACGAAAUGCUCUGACCUAACACGUCAGAGUUUGACGGUACCGGGUGAGGAAGCCCCGGCUAACUCUGUGCCAGCAGCCGCGGUAAUACAGAGGGGGCAAGCGUUGUUCGGAAUUACUGGGCGUAAAGGGCGCGUAGGCGGCCUGCUAAGUCGAACGUGAAAUCCCCGGGCUCAACCCGGGAACUGCGUCCGAUACUGGCUGGCUUGAAUCCGGGAGAGGGAUGCGGAAUUCCAGGUGUAGCGGUGAAAUGCGUAGAUAUCUGGAGGAACACCGGUGGCGAAGGCGGCAUCCUGGACCGGCAUUGACGCUGAGGCGCGAAAGCCAGGGGAGCAAACGGGAUUAGAUACCCUAGUAGUCC
rnacentral:rRNA from 1 species